CACGUAGUUAGCCGUGGCUUUCUGGUUAAGUACCGUCAUCUCAAGGCCAGUUACUACCUCAAGUGUUCUUCCUUAACAACAGAGUUUUACGAGCCGAAACCCUUCAUCACUCACGCGGCGUUGCUCCGUCAGACUUGCGUCCAUUGCGGAAGAUUCCCUACUGCUGCCUCCCGUAGGAGUCUGGGCCGUGUCUCAGUUCCAGUGUGGCCGAUCACCCUCUCAGGUCGGCUACGUAUCGUCGCCUUGGUAAGCCGUUACCUUACCAACUAGCUAAUACGGCGCGGGUCCAUCUAUAAGUGAUAGCAAAACCAUCUUUCACUUUAGAACCAUGCGGUUCUAAAUGUUAUCCGGUAUUAGCUCCGGUUUCCCGAAGUUAUCCCAGUCUUAUAGGUAGGUUACCCACGUGUUACUCACCCGUCCGCCGCUAACUUCAAAGGAGCAAGCUCCUUAUCUGUUCGCUCGACUUGCAUGUAUUAGGCACGCCGCCAGCGUUCAUCCUGAGCCAGGAUCAAACUCUA
rnacentral:rRNA from 1 species